AAAACCAACCCGUCCCAAUUAUAAUGCAAAAUUGCCUAGAAAACCUAAACCAAAAGAUCCAAAAAUGGGCAUCAAUGUUCUUCUUCUCCAAAAACACCGAUUCCAUUCCCAAAAAUCGACAAAAUACAGGCGAGUGAGCCUCAAUGUCACAACCACGCUUUCCCUCCCUCUCUCCCCUUGUCAUUUCUAACAGUUUCUGACAAAUUCCUUUUCCUCUCACAUGGUUCUUUGAUUUAUCUCAGAUUUGUUCAUCCUCCGGAUGAAAAUAAGGAAAAAUGGAGAGCAUUGAAUGUAACGACCCAAUCCACCGUCACGUGAGUUACCGCUCCGUUCUCUCCGUUCUCUCCGUUUUAUGCUUCUAUAUGUUUCAUUUUAUGUGUUUUUUGAGUUUGAAGUAAUUCGGAUAGAGUCCAGUUAGAAAUGAGACAGUUAGUCUCUUUAAGAGAAAGUUAGCUUGGAAAAGUCAACCGAAUGUUGACUUAUGAGUUAGAGGGCUCAGAAUAGAUUUCUGAAGAUUCGACUAGUUUCGGUGAUGAUUUGUGACUUAGGAGCGCAAUCGGAAUUGAAUUUGGAGGUCCGGUUUAGAAUUAGGCUUGAAUUGGCUAAGUUUGAAUUUUGGGAAUUUCGGUCGAUAGGUGAGAUUCUGAUCCAAGGGUCGGAAUAGAAUUGUGACAGUUGCAGUAGCUCCGUUAGGUGAUUUUGGAUAUGCAUUCAAAGUUUCAGGUCAUUUGGAGGUGUUUAGGUCGGGUUUUAGAUCAAAUACAUGUUUCGGAAGUUUUAGUUUAACUUAGGCUUGAAUCCGUGGUAAUUUGAUGAUUUUGUUGGUUAUGAUAGCAUUUUUAUGUUACAAUCAAGUUUGAAUGAAGUAAUAGAACAUAUUUGUGUGUUUGGUUGAGGCUCCAAGGGUCUUAGGGUGAUGUCGAAUGGUUAAACGGAGAAUUUUGAGUGUUGUUUUAGGUAUGGCACCUGACUUCUGGUAUCUCCGCAUAUGCGGAAAAGGAGCCGCAGAAGAGGUUCUGCAGAUACGACUUAGCGAUUGCAGAAGCGGUCUAUGGGGGAUCAGAGUGUUUCAGUAAAAUCGGACGGUGAACCGCAUCAGGGGGUUUGCAAAAGCGGAAACGGAGUCGCAGAAGCGGAUCAGGGAGGCCCGCAGAAGGGGAAUUUUGGUUGCAAAAGCGGAAGCCCAGAGACUUAAUGAAACUGCAAAAGCAGUCAAAUGGACGUCGAAGCGAUCCCGCAAAGGCGGUCACGGGACCGCAGAAGCGAAUACUACAGAAGGGUUUAAUGAAACAGUGUAUGCGAAUUUCAGAAGUUAAGAAAAUAUUUUAGACCUCGGGAAAAGGCGGUUUUCGACGACUUUUAGGAGAAAUCGAAGGAGCUUCAUCAGGUAUGAACUAUUAGCCUCGCAAUAUGUUAUUUUGAUGUAACAACAUUGAUUAAUCACGGAACUUCGAGGAUUUAAGGGCUAAAAAUAGGGGUUAGGGCUUGAAACCCAAGGGAGUUUAAAUGCGAGUUUUGGAAGGGUAAACAAACUCUGUUUUUGAUAAAUUUUAAAUGUACGGACUCGCAACGAGACGAGGAAUCUGUUGAUGUAACUUUUGUAAUUUUUCGAGAAGUGGGCCCGUAGCUCGGAUUUUACCAACUUCGUGAAUUUUAAUACUUUUCGAGUAUUUUUUAUUGGGUUAUGUUUCCUUAGCCCAUAUUUAUGUAUUUGUUGUGGUUUUAUCUAGAUUCGACGCGUGUAGAGGAAGAUUCAAAUGGAAAAGGCAUUGUAGACCAGUCUACGGCCGGCUAGAGGUGAGUAGUUUGUAUUGAUAAUGGCCUGAGGGUUUGAAACCCCGGUUUAUCACAUUGUGAUGCUAUUUUAGGGCGUGAUUCGCAACCCAUGGCAGGUGUGGGGCUGUUUAUGACUGGGGAUUGUGACUUGGUCUACCCGAACAAGAAUAAUACUAUAUUGGUGACUGAUACGCACCCAGUAUUAAAUAUAUCUGGGCUUAUUGCCAUGUUUAGGACCUUUUGCCGAUCUGUAGCAUCCUUAGAAGAUGAAUAUCAUUGUGAUAUCAUGAUUUGUAUAAUUAUUGAUCUCAAUCUUGUGUUUAAUCACUGUUAUGAAAUGCUAAGUCACCUUUUUCCUGAAAGUAAAUAACUAAAUUAUAUUCUUCUUAAUAAUUGGAAACUGAAAAAUAAAUUGAAUCUAUUAUGUGACUUAUAUGUAUACUGUGGACUGAGUAUGGAUCGGGAUGCACGCCGCAGUAGUGACAUGAUGAUAUUGCGCUUGGGUUGUAGGAGCCCCUCCGGAAUCUGUACACAUCACCAAUGAGUGUAGUCGAUGUUAAAUGAAUCGGGCUGUACGCCACAGCGGGUCAUGUGCAUUGCAUUUCAUUAUUGCAUUUUACUUGACUAAUAUACUUGAUAUUGCUUUGCUAUUGGUUCGUAGUUAAGGUGUCAGAUUGUUAGUAUUAGCUUUACUUUGUGCCAUUUCGUGGAUUUCUUAUCUUCAGACAUUUUAUAUGCUUAUUACUCACUGAGUAGUUAGUACUCACCCCUACUCCCUGCACCUUGUGUGCAGAUUCAGGUGCACCGGAGGCCUAGUUGAGCAGUCGUUGUCUCCAGAUAUUACCAGAGUUGUUGUCUGCUUGGCGUUCGCAGGACCUGACUACUCCUCCUAUUUCAGUUUUACUUAUAUAUACAUUUCCACACUUGUGUAUUUUUGUUCAAACAUUGUUAUCCAGCUUGUUUUAUAGGCUCUAGACUCGUGACCCCAGAUCUUAUGGGAGCGUUUUAUCAUGUUCCGUAUCUCUCCAUAUUAUUUUAC
rnacentral:lncRNA from 1 species